rnacentral:rRNA from 1 species
AUUGGACGCUGGCGGCAUGCCUUACACAUGCAAGUCGAACGGCAGCACGGGAGCAAUCAUGGUGGCGAGUGGCGAACGGGUGAGUAAUAUAUCGGAACGUGCCCAGUCGUGGGGGAUAACGUAGCGAAAGCUACGCUAAUACCGCAUACGAUCUCUGGAUGAAAGCGGGGGAUCGCAAGACCUCGCGCGAUUGGAGCGGCCGAUAUCAGAUUAGGUAGUUGGUGAGGUAAAGGCUCACCAAGCCGACGAUCUGUAGCUGGUCUGAGAGGACGACCAGCCACACUGGGACUGAGACACGGCCCAGACUCCUACGGGAGGCAGCAGUGGGGAAUUUUGGACAAUGGGCGCAAGCCUGAUCCAGCAAUGCCGCGUGCAGGAUGAAGGCCUUCGGGUUGUAAACUGCUUUUGUACGGAACGAAACGGCGAGCUCUAAUACAGUUUGCUAAUGACGGUACCGUAAGAAUGAGCACCGGCUAACUACGUGCCAGCCGCCGCGGUAA